GUCCACGCUGUAAACGAUGGGCACUAGGUGUCCGGGGUAUUGACCCCCUGGGUGCCGCAGCUAACGCAUUAAGUGCCCCGCCUGGGGAGUACGGUCGCAAGAUUAAAACUCAAAGGAAUUGACGGGGCCCGCACAAGCGGUGGAGCAUGUGGUUCAAUUCGACGCAACGCGAAGAACCUUACCUGGGCUAGACAACGGUGGACAGCUCUAGAAAUAGGGUCUUCCCUUCGGGGACUGCCGGUUCAGGUGCUGCAUGGCUGUCGU
rnacentral:rRNA from 1 species